rnacentral:rRNA from 1 species
CACGUAGGGUGCGAGCGUUGUCCGGAAUUAUUGGGCGUAAAGAGCUCGUAGGCGGUGUGUCACGUCGGCCGUGAAAACCUGCAGCUUAACUGUGGGCGUGCGGUCGAUACGGGCAUCACUGGAGGUUCGGCAGGGGAGACUGGAAUUCCUGGUGUAGCGGUGAAAUGCGCAGAUAUCAGGAGGAACACCGGUGGCGAAGGCGGGUCUCUGGGC